rnacentral:rRNA from 1 species
UACGUAGGGCGCAAGCGUUGUCCGGAAUUAUUGGGCGUAAAGAGUUCGUAGGCGGUCUGUCGCGUCCGUUGUGAAAGCCCAGGGCUCAACCCUGGGUCUGCAGUGGAUACGGGCAGACUAGAGUCAGGUAGGGGAGAACGGAAUUCCUGGUGUAGCGGUGAAAUGCGCAGAUAUGCGGAGGAACACCGAUGGCGAAGGCAAUCCCCUGGGCCUGCACUGACGCUCAUGCACGAAAGCGUGGGGAGCAAACAGG